ACCAAUCAGAUCACUGCUUUCAUUAUUAACAAGGCCUCUGAAAAAUGAAAGCAGCGAUCUGAUUGGUUGCUAUGGGCAACUAGGUAACUUUUCCUCUGGACAGGUUUUGAUAAAUCUUCCCCAAAUAAUAUACAAGGAUUAGAUUGUUGGGGGUCCUAGGCUUUUGCCCUAAAUCGAUGGGGCUUCUAUGCUUGGAGACAAAUCCCGGACCGAAGGUAAAUUCUGCUUUAUUGAGUCUUAUAAACUCUUUUUAUCAUGAAAAGAGCGAUGAAUUUACCAAUGAUCCGUCCUUAAUUCUAACUAGAUAUGAGGCGUAGGAACGUCUAGAUGAACGGCGGAGACAAUUGAUUGCACAAUGAUUAGGACCGCUCCAUUUACAUGGCCCCCGCCAUCCAUUACACAAGGCUCCGAGGAGACGACACGCGGGCGGAUGCGUAUGAUAGUAGAGCGCACAAUGGCGAGAUCUCAGCGGUCCGUCACAGAUGGACGGUCGUCCUUGUACACGAAGAUGACAUUUAAUGCUUCGUGGCCGCGCAUUGAGUCUUUACACGGAAGAGAGAAAUUCCUGGGAAGAUAAGAUAGAAAUCUGCAUGAAGUCCGGCGGAUCAGGUCUCAGCGGUCGCCUUCUCCGCUACGAAAUGUAACGCCGAAAAAACACGUAAACAGGAAAAAACUAAAUGUCACUUACCGCUCCUGGAGAGUCCAGAUGGCGUCAUGGCCCCCAUUAUAGUCAAUAGCAAAGCUUUUUACAUUACAGAAAUAACUAGGAACGUGACCAACGACGCAAGGGCAGAAAUUACGCUAUUUUUUUUUUUAUUCGAAUUUAAAAUGUGCCGUUUUCCCCAAUUUAAAGUUUAAAGGGGUACUCUGGUGGAAAACUAUUUUUUAUAU